GGGUGGAGCUCAGUGGUAGAGCGCGUGUGUGGCAUGCACAGGGUCCUGGGUUCAGUCCCCAGUCCCUCCA
rnacentral:tRNA from 1 species